rnacentral:lncRNA from 1 species
CCCAGGCCACUGCGCCGGCAGGUCGACUGCCCAGGACGUCCAAGCAGGAUGCGGCUGGUGCCAUUUCAGCCACAUUUGUGUUGCAGCCAAUGUCACCCUGUUGCCUGAGGAUGGGAAGGAGAAGGCAGCGCUACGAGAGGAGUGGAUGGAGAGUGGGAGACUCCUCCAAAGCCAGGAGGAGGAGGAGAAGGAGCGGCUGCGGGCAGGAACCCCUGGAAUCACCCAGGACGUUAACAUCCAGGUGGAAAAGGGAAAGUACCUGGAACUGGAGGAACAGUUUGAUGCCCUGAGGAGAGAGCACACAAAAACCCUGCAAGAGCUCCAGAGAGCACAUGAGCAGGAGAAGCUGCUGCUGGCAGAGUCCCAC